rnacentral:rRNA from 1 species
AGAGUUUGAUCCUGGCUCAGAGCGAACGCUGGCGGCGUGCUUAACACAUGCAAGUCGAGCGGAAAGGCCCUUCGGGGUACUCGAGCGGCGAACGGGUGAGUAACACGUGAGCAAUCUGCCCCUAGCUUCGGGAUAGCUCCGGGAAACCGGGAUUAAUACCGGAUAUGACGACGGCCGACAUCGGCUGUUGUGGAAAGAUU